CCACCCUCAAACUUCACUUUCAACAUCGUCGUUCGUCUCCCUCAUAUCCGACAUCAAAGUUCAAGCCUAAUUUCCAACUCAUUAGCACAAAUCGAAACAAACACACACUCACGGUUUAUUUUUCCAGAAUUUAGAGAGAAAGCCUUACAUCUAAGAGAGAAAGAGCUAGAGAGAGAGAGAUUAAUGACGGUCGUGGUGGCUAUACAUGAUGAAGACGAUGGUGGUUGUGUUGUUGAGAAGUGGCGGUGGAGACAAGAUUAGGGUUCCGCGACAGUUUUUGUCUUCCGGCAAAGCUCCGACUAAACUCGGCAAUGUUCCGACGAUCAUAUUUUGGAUGUAUGUUCCAGAUACUACAUCGGUCUUCUCAAAGGAUUUCGCUUAGCAAGCUCUUGGCGCCAUUGAUAUGGAAGUCAUACUCUACUGGAUUGAAUCACCCCGAUGAAGAUGGCUGGAGUGAAGGAUAUGUUGAUAAUGAGAAAGUUAGGGAGUGUUGAGCCAGAUAAUUAUUGGUAUAGAGUGUGUGAAGGUGAAGCAGAAUCUGUUAUUCAAAGACCAUGGCACUUGAGAUGUAAAUGUAGACGAAAAACGGACAUAGUUUCAGCAAUAACGGCAAAGACUGAAGGUCCAUCACACAUUCGCAGAUGCUGGAUCAUAUGGUGCUUUUAACUUCUGGGACAAAGAUAACAAAUAAAGACUCAAGGUUUCGUUCCAUUUCGUUCUCUUUGAUGUUGAUGUUGCUCGAUGUAGCAUCUUCUGAUAACUCUUUGUAAGGGGAGUUGAAACUAAAGAUUUUUUUUUUCAGUUGUCAAAGAGUUAUAUAGUGACAUGAAGUAAUGGGACUCCCGCCGGGGACAACCGAACUUACUGAACACUUUGUUCCGCUGGCGCAACGCCUGGCGCCGAGUAACUAGUUAAUUAUGAAUUAAGUUUAGAGUUGAAUCUUGUUACAAUGAACAAAAGAUAUUAUAUACUAAAAGAACUAUUCAUGGAGAAUAGUUCUAGAGUUUACUAGUCAACAUAAUAACAAGUACGGGAAAAAAUAGCAUUAGAAGUAGCUAUUAUUCAGGCCAUGUUUGAAAGAGCUUAUUUUAACUACUUAUAAUUUAUUAACUACUUGGAAAAAGAGUUUUUGUGAAAUGAUGUUUGAGUAAUAAGGUGAAAACGGGCUUUUUAGGCAUUGAAAAGAGAAAUGAAAAAGUCACGUUGUGACUUUUCCAAAAAGGAGAUAAUGAGAUUAAAAAGUCAAUAAGGGGAAAUGGAAUAACUCAUCCAAACAUGCCCUCAAUCUGGUAAUAUUAGGUACAUCACUACAAACAUUUAUUUAUAAUAAGAUGCGGAGCUAGUGUAUUAGGAAGGGUACCCCGUCUUCGUACCAUUUUCGUAGUGUAAUUUUCCCCCAGUUUUAUAUAAAAGGAUGAAAGAUAUCCCUGAUCUAAAAAAAAAAUAAAAUAAAUAAAUAAAUAAAAAAAGUGGGGAUGCCCAUAAAUUUUUGGGCUAGAUCCAACAUUGUAUAUAAUUACAUGGGAAGUAAUCGCCAUCCACACAUACAAACGCACACCACGAAUAGAACAAAA